UGUCAUCACUUUCAGGAGCAUAUUCCAAUAUUGAGGCGACAGCUAACACCUUAGGCGAAGAAGGUGAGGGCAAAGACCCAGAAAGAUCGCCCGUAUCAAUGGAACUGCGAUCAAGGUAGGGUUUCAACAAAUUCACAUGACAUAUGCGAGUCUUACUACGGCGAUCUGGAGUUGCUAAUAUAUAGUUACUGUCAGUUUGCUUUUCAAUUAUUUUAUAGGGACCGGAGAAUCUGGUUUGCAAAGCGGAACCAGCAACAGGUGACCAGAGAGAUGGUGAUCAUGAGCUAAAGACAAAACUAAGGACCUGUAUGGAAGAGGAACCACAAUCUGUUUAACAGUCUCACAUUCACUGCUUGAACUUACAGGAGACCAGGACCUCAUCAAUACUCCAUCCUUAAUAAAGUAUUGUGAACGAC